rnacentral:snoRNA from 1 species
UUGCAGCCGAUUAAGCCAACUGAGUUCUUUUCCGCGUGGAAGCCUGGUGUACGAUGGCUGCAAACAGCAGCCUCCCGCGCGGCGCGUGCAGCCAGCUGCCUGUAGACAUUGCCUUAAGGAACCCUGGAGACAGCC